AGCAGCCGCGGUAAUUCCAGCUCCAAUAGCGUAUAUUAAAGUUGUUGCAGUUAAAAGCUCGUAGUUGAAUUUCGGGGUCUGUCCGUCGGUCGGGCUUCACGGUCCGUACUGGUGUGAUGGGUUCCUACCUUCUGAAUAACCGGCAUGCCAUUCAGUUGGUGCGCCGGGGAAGCAGAGCUAUUACCUUGAAAAAUUGAGUGCUUAAAGCAGGCUAGUGCUUGAAUAGAUUAGCAUGGAGUAAUAAAAUAGGACGGCAUGGUUCUAUUUUGUUGGUUUCUAGGACCACCGUAAUGAUUAAUAGGGAUAGUUGGGGGCAUUAGUAUUCAAUUGUCAGAGGUGAAAUUCUUGGAUUUAUUGAAGACUAACUU
rnacentral:misc_RNA from 1 species